rnacentral:rRNA from 1 species
AUUAAAGUUGUUGCAGUUAAAAAGCUCGUAGUUGAAUUUCGGGGUUAGUAGGUUGGUCAUGCCUCUGGUAUGUACUGGUCUCACUGAUUCCUCCUUCCUGAUGAGCCGUAAUGCCAUUAAUUUGGUGUUGCGGGGAAUUUGGACUGUUACUUUGAAAAAAUUAGAGUGUUUAAAGCAAGCUAACGCUUGAAUACAUUAGCAUGGAAUAAUGAAAUAGGACGUUCGAUCCUAUUUUGUUGGUUUCUAGGAUUGACGUAAUGAUUAAUAGGGAUAGUUGGGGGCAUUAGUAUUCAAUUGUCAGAGGUGAAAUUCUUGGAUUUAUUGAAGACUAACUACUGCGAAAGCAUUUGCCAAGGAUGUUUUCAUUAAUCAAGAACGAAAGUUAGGGGAUCGAAGACGAUCAGAUACCGUCGUAGUCUUAACCAUAAACUAUGCCGACUAGGGAUCGGAUGAUGUUAAUUUUUUAAUGACUCGUUUGG